UGGGGAAUAUUGCACAAUGGGCGCAAGCCUGAUGCAGCAACGCCGCGUGAACGAUGAAGGCCUUCGGAUCGUAAAGUUCUGUUGCAGGGGAAGAUAAUGACGGUACCCUGUGAGGAAGCCCCGGUUAACUACGUGCCAGCAGCCGCGGUAAUACGUAGGGGGCUAGCGUUUUCCGGAUUUACUGGGCGUAAAGGGUGCGUAGGUGGUCUUUCAAGUCGGUGGUUAAAGGCUACGGCUCAACCGUAGUUAGCCUCCGAAACUGGAAGACUUGAGUGCAGGAGAGGAAAGUGGAAUUCCCAGGGUAGCGGUGAAAUGCGUAGAUAUUGGGAGGAACACCAGUAGCGAAGGCGGCUUUCUGGACUGCAACUGACACUGAGGCACGAAAGCGUGGGUAGCAAACAGG
rnacentral:rRNA from 1 species